AUGGCUUCUGCUUGGAUUUCAACACUUGCAAUUCUCUUCACACUGAGUGGACUGAGAGCUCAAUCAGUGACUCAGCCGGAUUAUCAGAUCACUGUCACCGAAGGGGAUCCACUGACUGUGAAAUGUACCUAUUCAUUUUCUGGGAGCCCUUACCUCUUUUGGUAUGUCCAAUAUCCCAACCGAGGUCUCCAAUUCCUUCUGAAAUACAUCACAGGGGACAAACUGGUUAAAGGCAACUUCGGUUUUGAGGCUGAAUUUGAUAAGAAGCAAACCUCUUUCCACCUGAAGAAACUGUCUGCACUUGCGACUGAUUCUGCUGUGUAUUUCUGUGUUGGGAGUGACACAGUGGUGAGGGCUGCAGGGAGAAUUGAACACAAACCCCUGAGUACAGUAAAAACAAUUUUCCUUCAUGUCCCUCCACAAGAGGGUGGUGUGGUUCCAGGUUAUGUCAGUUAUUAUAACUAA